AACCCACUUUUAACAUCUGGACCAAAAUAUCUUUUAUUAUAUUUUUUAUAUAUUUUUUUUUCUUGCUUUCCCUUUUUCUUUCAAAACUUAGACUAAGGUUUUUCCUUUCCAAAAACACCAUGGCAAUCACCACCAAAAGCCAAUCAUCGCUACAGCUGUAUCAUUGCUAUAGCCACCGAAAGCUAGUCAUCACCGAAGCUGCACCAUUGUCGUCACCACCAAAAGCCAGUCGUCACCGCACCAACACCAUUGCCCUCAUCACCAAAAGCUAGUUGUCGUCACAAUUGCAGGUUGCGUCUGUACUGGCGUCGCUGCAAUCACCUAUUCCUUUUUUCUCUACUUUUAUUUUUUUUUUUUUUGCUAGUGGUUGAUUAUUUAUGAACUGUUGUAAUAUUGGAAUUUUGCUUCAAUAGGGUAAUUAAUCCAAGAUAAUUUUAUAUCUGAAACUCAGUGAAAAAAAAAAAUUAAAGGACUUAGACAUGGUCUUUGAAGAUUUGGAAGUAGAAGAGGAGGACCCAUUUCUUAGAUUCAUCGAAUAUGCCAGAUCUAUAAUAUCCCCUGAAGAAAAAGAAGAAGAAGACCAAGAUAUGGAUCCCAAAAUUGGAAAUGGAAAAGAGACCAAACGACCAAGUUGAAAUUGGAUUGCUUCUCGGAUCCUCAAGACUUGGACUGAUUAUUCCAGUGGUGUUACCCCAGCAAUUCUUCUCUAUGAUAUCAUUCAGAAUGUUGUAGGCGUGGAGUGAGCAACAUAGAGAUGGGACUACUAAGAAGAGGCCUGAAUGUAUCAACAAGUUGAGGAAGAAACAUAGAAGAGCAAAGGUUCCAAACACUGUCAUGAUUGACUCCAUUUAUGAAAAAAAUUUCUUGUCUUUGGAUAGUGUUUUGGAAGCAAUUAUUGUCAAUGCUUGUUUGCUCCCACGUACUCUUUGCAAAUUUAAAAAUCCUCAUGGUGUUUUACUUCAAUGGAGGCUUCAUGUGGCUAAAUAAUAAAGCGAAGUGGAAUAAAUAUAUUAUGCAAAAAGCUUUCAUUACAUUGUUAAAAGGGAAAAAGAUAUAUAAAGUUUUUGGUGUCUAAGUUGGUGGCAUGCUGCAUUCCCUUUGAACCUAAUACAUACCAAUUUGUCGUUAUGGCCCUAAUGUCCAUGCUGGAGGGGGGCCUGAUAUGCAAGGUUAUGAUGAAGAGGAAAUGAUGAAGCUUCGAGUAGAGAGAGGUGGAGGAGCAGGAGGUUGGAGUGUAGAAUUAGGUAGGAAGAGGAAAUGAUUUGAUUUGGCUGUUGCCACCAUUGUCAAUUGUACUACACAUUUUUUAAUGAAUUUUUUAAAGCAAUUAUGCAAUAAAAUCAUACAGAAAUCGAUGAAUUGAAGCUUCUGGAUACAUUUUCUUCCAGUCGAAA